CCCGAAGCGCGGAGAAGAGGGCCCCCCGGUUAAAAGGGAGAGCCCACAACGACUAACCCUCCCCACCGGAUGGUCCCUGCAGUGUAGAUGGCCCGGACCAGCUCACUCUAACUUCCCGCCGAGGGGAGAGACUCAAACCUGUCUAUCACAUACUGCUCCAUACCAUCAUCAUUGGAGCUACAAUGACAAGAGAACGAGAUGGCAACUGUUCCCCAUGAUGUAAAUAGGCCAAAUUAGUGCCUCCACAGUCAUCUGAUCUCAAUUCAAUAGAGCACCUUUGGUGGAAACAGACAUCCGCCUCAUGGAUGUGCAACUAAUAAAUCUUCGGCAACUGCGUAAUUCCAUCGUGUCCAUAUACACCAAAAUCCAGCACCUCGUAGAAAGAAUGCCCCCA